CUCGAAAUAGCUCAGUUGGAAGAGCCUUAGAGUAUAAAUCGAAAGGUCCCUGGUUCGAUCCCGGGAUUCGGCA
rnacentral:tRNA from 1 species